rnacentral:tRNA from 1 species
UCCUCUGUGGCGCAAUUGGCUAGCGCGUCUGACUGUUACGAAAUAGUUCAUCAGGAGGUUGACAGUUCAAGCCUGUCCGGAGGAG